UGGGGAAUUUUGCGCAAUGGGGGCAACCCUGACGCAGCGACGCCGCGUGGGUGAAGAAGGCCUUCGGGUUGUAAAGCCCUGUCUAGGGGGAAGAUAGUGACGGUACCCCUGGAGGAAGCCCCGGCUAACUACGUGCCAGCAGCCGCGGUAAUACGUAGGGGGCGAGCGUUGUCCGGAAUUACUGGGCGUAAAGGGCGUGUAGGCGGCCAAGCAAGUCAGCUGUGAAACACCCCGGCUCAACCGUGGUUCUGCAGUUGAAACUGCGUGGCUUGAGUGCAGGAGAGGAGGGUGGAAUUCCUGGUGUAGCGGUGAAAUGCGUAGAUAUCAGGAGGAACACCGGUGGCGAAGGCGACCUUCUGGCCUGUUACUGACGCUGAGGCGCGAAAGCUAGGGGAGCGAACAGG
rnacentral:rRNA from 1 species